CCUACGGGAGGCAGCAGUGGGGAAUAUUGGACAAUGGGGGAAACCCUGAUCCAGCGACGCCGCGUGAGUGAAGAAGUAUUUCGGUACGUAAAGCUCUAUCAGCAGGAGAGAAAAUGACGGUACCUGACUACGAAGCCCCGGCUAACUACGUGCAAGCAGCCGCGGUAAUACGUAGGGGGCAAGCGUUAUCCGGAUUUACUGGGUGUAAAGGGAGCGUAGGCGGCAGCGCAAGUCUGGAGUGAAAUGCCGGGGCCCAACCCCGGAACUGCGCUGGAAACUGUGAGGCUGGAGUGCAGGAGAGGUAAGCGGAAUUCGUGGUGUAGCGGUGAAAUGCUUAGAUAUCAGGAGGAACACCGACGGCGAAGGCGGCUUACUGGACUGUAACUGACGUUGAGGCUCGAAGGCGUGGGGAGCAAACAGGAUUAGAUACCCUUGUAGUC
rnacentral:rRNA from 1 species